CCAGAGGGCCAACUCUGAGC
rnacentral:miRNA from 1 species